rnacentral:ncRNA from 1 species
CUGGGGCGGUCGCCUUGACCGCCAAAAAUAAAUUGGGGGCAUCUUGGCUAGUAAUAGCAGGAUAAACAUCUGGCUAUAUGCUGGGACAUCUGGGGUAUCUUGCGCUACUGAAUGUAAAUUCAGUGAAAAUGCGACAAGUGCAGACAAUCAGCAGGGAAGUUCUAAAUUUUUUGAACCCCUCAACGACUACACGCCGGAACCCGCUUAAAUUGCGGGAAGUGAUAUAGUCUGAUCUUCAUAGCGAUAUGAAG